rnacentral:rRNA from 1 species
CUCCUGAUUGACCGAUAGUGAACCAGUACCGUGAGGGAAAGGCGAAAAGAACCCCGGCGAGGGGAGUGAAAUAGAACCUGAAACCGUGUACGUACAAGCAGUGGGAGCACCCUUGUGGUGUGACUGCGUACCUUUUGUAUAAUGGGUCAGCGACUUAUAUUCUGUAGCAAGGUUAACCGUAUAGGGGAGCCGUAGGGAAACCGAGUCUUAACUGGGCGAAUAAGUUGCAGGGUAUAGACCCGAAACCCGGUGAUCUAGCCAUGGGCAGGUUGAAGGUUGGGUAACACUAACUGGAGGACCGAACCGACUAAUGUUGAAAAAUUAGCGGAUGAC